AGAAAUGUCAAGUGUGUCAAGCCGAUUGAGCGAGGUUCCUGACGGCAAUCAUUUUUUUUACUGAAUAAAAAUUAAAUAUGUUUUCAUUAUGAUUUGCAUAAUAAAGAUGUCUUCUUCUUAGAAAUAUCGUUGGAAUGAUAUUUGUUUGGCAAAAAAUGAAAUUGGUACCAAAUUUACAAACACUGGUGCAAAAACAUAAGCGCGUCAUGGGCCUGCAUGAUGCAUCAAGAAAUAAACUAUUUACAUUUUUGUGCAGGUCGGGCUGUAUUUUGUGGGCAGUUUAUUCUGCUUAAUUCUGGUGAAUAUAAGUAAUAAUUGGACGUGUAGUAGAUUUGUAAAGGAGACUAAUAUGCACGGCCGAAAAGGAAAUCAGCCAGGUCAACAAGCGGCCUGAAUAGCAGAACAAGCCGGUCGAACUUACAGUCAACGACGUUCUUCAUCCAAACUUACGUCCCAUCGCAAACUGCUGCUGCUUAAAAAGCUCCAGAAACAACAAGUACAACAAGUGCGCGGAAAACAGGAUAAAUCGGAUAACAUUGCCGCAUAGUUAUUCUUGGAAAAUAAAAUAAAUUUAUCUGCUUAUCUUGCUUCAAGUAAGAUACUACCAGGCCGGAGGUGAAAAUCAGAACACCUAUUUUUCGACAUGAAUUAUUAUUAUUCGAUGUAUAAAUAAAUUAAACUCGUGGUAUGUGAUUUGCACAUCAAAAUGCUAUGCGGUUGUUUAUCUAUUUAACAUGUUUCUCUAACGAUCCAAUUUAAUCAAGCAACUUUGAGUUUUUAGGUUUUCGUAGUUAACCAAAGAAUUCAGCACACGUAAAUUAUUUAAAAUAAAACAUACAUAUACAUAUAGGCACUUUUUUCAAGAAUUUAGGCUUUGAAUACAUGGAACUUUGUCAGAUUUUUUUCUUUUUAUAAGCAGGUGUCAGUUUUUUCUUCGUCUCAGGGAACUCAUUCAGGCGCGGUUUAGUCUAUUCUCAAAGAGGGCAAUUAACAGAGAUUUCGCGCGCUAUUGUUUUACGCCCGAUAUGGCUCUCUGGUUAGAGACUUCGUUCGUGUUUUUUCUUCACUUCACCAGUUUUCCAGCGUGUAGCAGAUAAGAGAAAAAUAAUCAUAAAAUGUCAAACAAAAAAUGUAAAUAUAAAUAUAAUUGUUAUGGGCACUGA